UCUUACUGCAGCUUCGUACUUCUACUUCGUCUCUACUCUCAUCUAUAAUCUUCUAGUGUUCUAGUUCGUCUUCUCUUCAUGAACCAAAAGAAUCAAAAGAUCAAUCUCUUACGCCUAAAACUCGAACGAACUUAUAUUAGCAUGAAAACUGAAAAAUCAAUCUCUGCCAACACUCAACAGGUUAUAAUAUAAAUUCAAGAAGACAAUGACUCGGUGUCUGAAGUUCUACAAAUCUACUUGUUAAUUCUUGAUCUCUCAAUCACACAAAUAAAUCAGUUAUGAUGAUGAAACAAUUUCAAUCACUGUCUCUGUCUCAGAUGCAAAAUUAGGGCAAAAUAUAUAGAAUUUUAGCAGGACAGCAGGUUCAAAUCCCCUAAAGUACUAAACAAAGAUCAUCAAUUACUUCCCAUCAAAGGGUUGAAUCUAUUUCAGCAUGAACCUGGAACAAACUCGAGCAACCAGUUUAAAAACAUCAGCAACAAGUCAUCUCACUAAAACACAUGGUGCGAAUUGUUGCAUUUCGUGGCUGUAAGCACCACAUUUACAGAUGAAGUGACAAGAACUAAAACUAAAAGGCACUGUAACGCAAGCCGAAUGAGAACAAUGGGGUUAUUUUUAGAAUCUCGCUGUUAGACUGUUGUUAAAUUUUUUCCUGAUUUCAUUUUAUUGUUAGAAUCUGCUACAAUUUUCAAUAUGUU